GCACGAACGCAGUGGCUACCAGUUAGACAUGAGAAUAUGGAAUGCUCUACCCCAGCUAUAAUAGUACUGAAAACCUCUGAUGUGAUACAGAUGUUGCUGCACCAUUCUUAUGUUGCUUCUGAAUUUAAAUAGGAAAAAUCUUAUCAUCGCUCUUCAUUAAACUGCAUAAACAAUCCGGAUACUGCAGUGAGGACCUCAUCGGACAAUAUCUGGUUCCACAGAUGGCCCUCGGAGGGAUCUUGUAUUUAUAAUGGACUAGAUCAGGUUAUGCUUUUGGUUAUAUGGGUCUAAAGAUGCUUGCCUCUGCCAGGGAUUUUCAUGCAUUUAAGGAAGCUCAGAAUCUGGCUUCAGCAUCCAAUAAUGCAAUGGCUGGAAGACCACAACGUGUCAGAUUAACUGGGUGGACACAUUGGAUAUUAGCAACAAUUCUGCUGCUGUGGAGUUACCAGAUCAGUGGACAAGGUGUAAAUGGAGCAGCAGGGCUCUGGAGAGUGCUGCUGGGUCGCAGGGCUGUGGUGCCCUGGCAUUGCCAGGUGGGCUGGGCUGGAACAGGAGGGGAGCUUCUGGUGGCUGCAAGGGGUCCAGCUGAGCAAAAACAUUGAGGUAGGACAGCUCGGUACCAAGUCCCUGACAGAAAAGCAAAUACACCAUUCUGGAAUGCAUAAUCAUUUCAAAUGUUUGCUGGGCUUUGGGAGAAAAGGUGAUCACGAUGUAGAAGAAAGAAUAUACUGAGGAUUAAAAAAGCCUGCUUGCCAAUCCACUGUUUGCUUUUACUGAAUAAACAACUUUUCAUGAUUUUUAGAAAAAUAUUU
rnacentral:lncRNA from 1 species